ACGGUUGACCUCGGAUCAGGUAGGAAUACCCGCUGAACUUAAGCAUAUCAAUAAGCGGAGGAAAUC
rnacentral:rRNA from 1 species